UAUAACAUUUCACAGACAGAUACAAAUAUUAAUUUAGAAUAUCAGGUAGACCUACACUGGUUUUGGCUUAGACAGUAAGACAGUGUUGGCCUAGACAGUAAGACAGUGUUGGCCUAGACAGUAAGACAGUGUUGGCCUAGACAGUAAAAUAAGAUGAGAUAAGAUAAGAUACGAUAAGAACUUUAUUAUCCCACACUGGGUAAAUUAAAACGGGCAUUGAUUUAACAGUAGAGACAAAAACAUUAAAAACUGUUUAACAAUACACAGACAGAUUAAAAUAUUAAUUAAGAAUAUCAGGAAGACCUAGACUGGUUUUGGCUUAGACAGUAAGAUAGUGUUGGCCUAGACAGUAAGACAGUGUUGGCCUAGACAGUAGUAAGACAGUGUUGGCCUAGACAGUAAAAUAAGAUAAGAUAAGAUAAGAUAAGAACUUUAUUAUCCCACAUUGGGGAAAUUAAAACUGGCAUUGAUUUAACAGUUCAGACAAAAACACUAAAAAUUGUAUAACAACACACAAACAGAUAAAAAUAUUAAUUAAGAAUAUCAGGUAGACCUAGACAAAUUUGGCCUAGACAGUAAGACAGUGUUGGCCUAGACAGUGUUGGCCUAGACAGUAAGAUAAGAUAAGAUAGGAUAAGAUACGAUAAGAACUUUAUUAUCCCACACUGAGGAAAUUAAAACUGGCAUUGAUUUAACAGUACAGACAAAAACACUAAAAUUGUAUAACAAUACACAGACAGAUUAAAAUAUUAAUUAAGAAUAUCAGGUAGACCUAGACUGGUUUUGGCCUAGAAAGUAAGACAGUGUUGGCCUAGACAGUAAGAUAGUGUUUGCCUAGACAGUAAGAUAGUGUUGGCCUAGACAGUAAGACAGUGUUUGCCUAGACAGUAAGACAGUGUUUGCCUAGACAGUAAGACAGUGUUGGCCUAGACAGUAAGACAGUGUUGGCCUAGACAGUAAGACAGUGUUGGCCUAGACAGUAAGACAGUGUUGGCCUAGACAGUAAGACAGUGUUGGCCUAGACAGUAAGACAGUGUUGACCUAGACAGUAAGACAGUGUUGGCCUACUGUGUUGGCCUAGACAGUAAGACAGUGUUGGCCUACUGUGUUGGCCUAGACAGUAAGACAGUGUUGGCCUACUGUGUUGGCCUAGACAGUAAGACAGUGUUGGCCUACUGUGUUGGCCUAGACAGUAAGAUAGUGUUGGCCUAGACAGUAAGACAGUGUUGGACUAGAGAUAACACAAACCUUCCACCCCUUCAAGCAGGCUCAUCCAAGAUGCAAGUACGGACUUGAGCAGACGAUGACGAGUCUUCUAUCGAUGUCCUUGAUCAAUGACCCGAGGUCGGCAGAUGUCAAGGACAAAGUCAGGUCUAAGUAUCUGGAACUCUUCCCUUUAUAACAUUUUUAUUUCUUUUUUUUCCACAUAAAUUGUCAUGGAUACCGACGAUAAUCCUAGUUUGGUAACGUGUUAGGGUAAACUUGUGGUAGACCUCACUUUAGCUCAAAAUGCUAACCUUUUUAGAAUUAAGUUUUCUUUUAAUGAUGCAGAUUGUGUCUUCUUCUGAACAUGAUGAACAAGUCUAAUCAUCGACAUCUUGAGCCAAGGUGACCAACCAGCAAGUUCAUGGCAAUGGAGGCAGGACAAGGGCCAAAAUUUCAUAAAGCCUCAGUCGUGUGCAGUGACGACUAAAGCCAGAGCUGUUGCGAUGUGCAUCGGUGGAGGCCAGGCAGAACGGAGAAAGUCAACAACAGAAUGCAUGUUGAAGACACUCUGAUGAUGAGGCUACCCUUUCUGGACUGUGGAAUCAUGACGAGGAGGACUUCGUCAAGUCUACCCAGAUGAUUCACCCAAAGGUCAACUAUUCAAGUGAGCCCAGCUAAACCAUGAUUGCGCCUUACUGACUGUAGACUUGAGGGGGGGGGGGCAAUUGUUACAGGCAACCAGUUCCAGGCAAUCUCCAAGACGAUAUUUCAUUCCCAUUUUGAAUGUCUUAUAAUUUCUUUGAAAACCGUAUAAGACAUUGAUUGAAAAACUACUCGUGUGCUGCCAAAGUGGUCAUUUAGCUUGCACUGCAGCAGUUGGUUGCCUCCAAGUUGCUCGUAAGGAUUGCCUCCAAGUUGCCUGUAAAAGUUGCCUGUAAAAUUUGCUUUAUGUGACAAGGCCCUUUAGACUCGGCUUUGGGCUCUGGUUCUGGCUUCAUGCUCCAUUUUGAUGUUCGAACCACAAGGCAAAAUUUACGCUUCCCCAUAUGCGCUCGCAUAAAUGACAACGGAGCCCAUGCUGGAACCAGAGCCCAUGCUGGAGCCAGAACCCAAGACGAGGUUUGGAAAAUUCUUCAUAAAGGCACUGGACACUAUUGGUUAUUACUUUUAAGUAAAUUGUUGUGCUAACAAAUUGU